rnacentral:tRNA from 1 species
GAGUUGUUAGCUCAGCUGGUUUAGAGCGCUACCUUGACAGGGUAGAGGUCACAGGUUCGAACCCCGUACAACUCACCA